GGAGCAACGCCGCGUGCGGGAGGACGGCCUGUGGGUUGUAAACCGCUUUUCUCAGGGAAGAAGAUCUGACGGUACCUGAGGAAUCAGCAUCGGCUAACUCCGUGCCAGCAGCCGCGGUAAUACGGAGGAUGCAAGCGUUAUCCGGAUUUAUUGGGCGUAAAGCGUCCGCAGGCGGCUAAUCAAGUCUGCUGUUAAAGGCCGAGGCUUAACUUCGGUUGAGCAGUGGAAACUGAUUAGCUAGAGUGCGAUAGGGGUAGAGGGAAUUCCCAGUGUAGCGGUGAAAUGCGUAGAUAUUGGGAAGAACACCAGUGGCGAAGGCGCUCUACUGGGUCGCAACUGACGCUGAGGGACGAAAGCUAGGGGAGCGAAAGGGAUUAGAUACCCCUGUAGUC
rnacentral:rRNA from 1 species